ensembl:snRNA U6 U6 spliceosomal RNA
GUGCUCACUUUGGCAGUACAUGUACUAAAAUUGGAACUAUACAGAGAUUAGCAUGGCCCCUGUGUAAGGAUGACCCUCAAAUUUGUGAAAUAUUACAUUUUACU